UUCCGUGACAGUAGCUUGCUUUCCAUUUGUACCCCAGCGAUCCAAUGUUCUGCAGAAAUGGGACCGAGGCAACCUGCUGCCUGUCCGAAAAGGAGCUCUGCAUGGUAGCGCAGGACUGACGAGUCUGGUGCCUCUUCCAGAGACUCGCAGAAUCCGCCUAUAGAACUGUGGAUUAUUGCAGUUUGAACUGACCCCCUAGGACAACUGGAAGCGCUAGCCAGAAGCGUUUGUCAUGGGAUGCUUUAAUGCUUUGAAAAUUGUCCUUAACUGUGUCCUUCAGCGAACUAGAUAAAGAGACAGUAAGAUUGUUUAUUGAUUAUUUCCAUCAACAUUGCUUGGCAUAGUUGGCAGGAUAUCAGAAAAACCCAUCUGAGGUUACCUGGAGUCUAUACUGGACCAGCGCCUUGGUACCAAGCACAGCCCCUUGAGCCCCCCUGGCUUCACAGAACCCUUCGGGUGCUUUGCUCGCAGGAAUCAUCCUGACCAGGCCCACCUGUGAAUGACUGCAAGCAGGAAGAAAUGAACACAUCCCCUCUGGAGGCUGACCAGAACCAGAAAAUGUUUGACUUUACUCCCUUCCCUUUUAGUAUAAAAGAACCCUGAAUUCUGACUCAGGCAAGAUGGUUCUUUGGAACACGAGUCCACCAUCUUCUCGGUCUGCCAGCUUUCCAAAUAAAGUCACUAAUC